rnacentral:rRNA from 1 species
AAGUCGUAACAAGGUUUCCGUAGGUGAACCUGCGGAAGGAUCAUUAAUAAUGUGCCGCAAGGCCUUUAUACACACAACGUGCACGCCUUCGGGCCAAACCAUUAGUAACGAAUGUGAAACAUAAGUUAAUACAACUUUCAACAACGGAUCUCUUGGCUCUCGCAUCGAUGAAGAACGCAGCGAAAUGCGAAAAGUAAUGUGAAUUGCAGAAUUCAGUGAAUCAUCGAAUCUUUGAACGCACCUUGCACCCUUUGGUAUUCCGAAGGGUAUGCCUGUCUGAGUGUUAUUAGUCUUCCACGGCGCGUUUGCACCGUCGGUCUUGGGAUCGCCUUUGGCCUUCCUUAAAUGCAUCAGUGACGGAUCAGUCUUUGUCACUUUAAUAACCUUAGCCUUAACCUCAGAUCAGGUAGGACUACCCGCUGAACUUAA